UCUCCUUUAUAUAUCCGCACAUGCCUAGCAGUGCAAUAGAUUCUAAAUUUCAAUAUUUCAUUAAAAGUGGGAGUGGCCGGAACAAAUAAAAUGGCGAUCAGCACACGGGAAUCAGAAGUCAUGAUUUUCCUACUACAAAUCUAGGCUGCAAUCUCUUCAGAUCCUACCUCUGAUGAUGUACUUUGAGGUGAAUGAUAUAUCCUUCUUUCUGUCAUCAGUGAAAGCACCAAACCCUGCUUUUGAUACACUGCAGUUUGUUUCUUUCUCCACCUCUGGAACUCGUUCCUGUGGGAUCAAGCUACAACACCAAUUCUCAUGUUCCAACUCCUCAAGGCACUUCUACUUUACAAGACUCCCUAGACUCUGGAAUAAGAUAUCAAGGUAGGUCGAUCUUCUUGGUUACUCUGUUCCUACAGCAAAAUUCCAUCUUCGUCGCCUAAUGUGGUCCUACUUUGAAGAAACUUUCAAAGGCUCUGAGUAUCUAUGUACGUACCACUUCUGUUGCCCCUGUAGCAAGUGUAUCACUUCACAAGUCAAGUAACUGUUUUGUUGCAUUAGUAACUUUAUGCAUAGUGUCUAUGCUUUAUGUGUAUGUUAUAGUGUAAAUUAUUGUUUUAUUUUUUAUUUCUGGUACUCAGUAUUAAUUACUGAUGUACCCUCAGUACUCCAAACUCCUGCUGCCCUCAAUUUAAUGUUUUUCUUUUCUUCUCUCUCUAUGGUGUGUCCACGUAGCAGUCAAAAUGGCAGUGAGUUUGCUUAACCAAGGAUCUUUGAUGGUCUUUUUAGUCCUUCUAGCUAUAGCAGAUGAUGAAAACAGCAAUAGAAAAGGAUACAUGAAAAGUAAAUGAAAAAUCACCAAAAUAUAGACGAAUUUGGGAAGCAAUAAAUUAUACUGCCAGGACAGUGCAUGGUCAACAGAAGCAGAUUGAUGCCAUUCAAAAUAAAGUGACAACUCUUGAAGGUACUUGUUCUUCUUUCAGUUCUUUGCACGAGGCUCAGCAAGAAUUCAUGAAACUAAUGACUAUGUAUGGAGAAAGUACUUUCAAUAUUAAGAAAACACACUAUCAGGCACCAUUGAGAUGAGGUAUUGCUGACUUGUACUGCUGCUCUCUUUUUAGAAAACCCAGUGAUGAGGAAGUUAAUAAAUUGGUUAAUUCUGUUCUUCGAAGUGAUAAGAAGUAUAAAUAUAAGUACACUGCAGCUCUAAAGUAUGUCAAUGGAUUAUUAGCUACAUUUAGGAGUGAGGAAAGAAGACGGGUCUUACAACCAACUGGGAAGUACAAGGACCAAAACACUAAGGCAUUAGCUGAACUGAUUAUUGGAUAUAUGAAAGCAUCUUAUUCUGACUCAUUUAAUCAUUAUUAUCAAAAUUUGGUGUUAUUGAGAAAGUAUGUUAGAGAACAUCCUUCUGCUAAAUCUGAAAAGAAUCUAUUUGGCUGCUUCAAAAAAUGGGUCAAUGAAACUUGUGGAUUUGCUUCUAGCAAAUCUAUAGCUCCCAGUAAGUGGCAGGAAUGGAUUGCAGAGGAUGAGAAAUGUAGUUAUGUGGAUGGAGAUAGUGAUGAGAUGGCAACUUCUCAGGGCGAUAAUGAGCCACUACCACCAGAGGAUAAUGAUAAUAUGGUUAUACCUGAUGAUGAUGAUGAUGGAUAUCCUGAUCUUUAUGAUUAAUCAUCAGUUCAUCACAUACACAGCCAAGAGUUUGUGAUUGAUUCAUGAAUGAUGUCAGUCCUGAUCCGGCCUAAUGCAUCCUGAAUCAUGGAUGUUGGGCAGCUAAUAUGGCAUAGAGCAUAGCUGAAUCUAUCAGCCUUGAUACAAUCAUGCUGGAAUUCAUACUGGUUCAGCCAGAGCAACAUGUAUGAUUCAGCAAUGAUACCUGUCAGACUGUAUCAAUACUGUAAUCAGGCUCGAUUCAUUGAUUUUGGGCAGUGUCUUAUAUCAUACCUGUGAACUCUUGGCUGUGUACUGUUUAGACUAUGUACAUUUUUUUAAUUUUUCCAUUUAUCACUUGAUUUUGGUGACAUUGAUCAUUCAUGCUAUUGUGUUAAUCAGCAUUGAUAACCCUUUCUAUUAUAAUCUGAUUAAUUUAAAUACUAGUAUCAUGUUUGUUGUCAGAGUUGAUACAUGAACAGCAUGAAUCAAGCAUUGCUGUAUCAUCUUGUUACCCAUACAUGAAUCAUAAGGUUACGGCAUACUGAAUCACUUCUGAUGCAAAUCUGUUCGAAACAAACACGAAUGCGACCAUGAAUCACAAUGAUGACUUGUCAGGAUGAUACAUGCUAACUCUUGCAUGCUCUUGGCUGUGUAGUUACUAGUUAUUGAAUGCGGAAAAUUAGAAUCUAUACGGUGAUAACUACCGCCCACGCAGUUACAAUCCCUUUAUACUCUAUUAUCUAUGGUACGUGCGUGCGGCGCUGCUUUGUGUUGAAUUGAAGCGAAUUUGAUUGUUGAACAAAAUAUGUCUGAAGAUCCACAACAGCAAGGAUUCCCUGGAUAUCCGCCAGCUGACUACCCGCCAAGCUAUCCUCCUCAGCAAGGUUAUCCUCCACAGCAAGGGUACCCUCCUCAGCAAGGUUAUCCCGCUCCACAGCAAGGUUAUCCCGCUCCACAACAAGGGUACCAACCUCCUCCCCAAGUACAGCAGCAGCAGUCAACUAAUGUUAAUGUAACAGUUCAACAGCAGCCAUCUGCAACUGUAGUGGUGAAAAAAGAUGACCGUCCCAAUCACAUCCUACACUGCAUCAUUACUUUCUUUUGUCCAAUUUGGAUAUUUGUGUGGAUUAUUCUUUGCUGCGUUUAUGGAUGUUAAAAUUGCACCUAGCAAUUUUUACUGAGCUAUCAUUUAGUCUAUGUGGCUGGUUUGAUGCCAUAUUAGGCUUUAGCGUAGUUUUAGUGUAGACACAUAUUUAACUGUAUAUAUAUAAAUACUAAUAGUGUAUUUUUGCAAGUUGGUUAUUAAAUUGUGUGUUUUUUUCCUGUUCUCUCUAUUUCAAGGCUACUACACAAGUUGUAGCUAGUCCUAUUCAACACUUCCUAUGUUUUCUGUAUAACUAAGACUAUAUGAUUACUCUUAUCUUCUGUUGUUGUGUGUUGUAAAGUAAUAAUAAUAAUAAUAAUAAUAAUAA